rnacentral:ncRNA from 1 species
CCGGCUGUUCCGUCAGCCGUAACCUACCGAUGCAUGCGGAACUGGUAACGGUUCGGUAUGAAGCCAUUGGGACAACGUACCCCGUUCAAUAAACGACAGGUGCCUUGUGAGGGGCAUGGUCGUCUGCUAGCAACAAGGCGGACAGGGGG